UACGGGGGGUGCGAGCGUUAAUCGGAAUAACUGGGCGUAAUGGGCACGUAGGUGGUUAUGUAAGUCAGAUGUGAAAUCCCUGGGCUUAACCUAGGAACUGCAUUUGAAACUGUAUGACUAGAGUACUGUAGAGGGAGGUAGAAUUCCAGGUGUAGCGGUGAAAUGCGUAGAUAUCUGGAGGAAUACCGGUGGCGAAGGCGGCCUCCUGGACAGAGACUGACACUGAGGUGCGAAAGCGUGGGGAGCAAACAGG
rnacentral:rRNA from 1 species